GAAUGUUUAGUGAGCAAGUUGUACUGAUAUUGCCUAAUGAUAUUUUCAAUGGAAUUUAAGAAGCUUUAUUCUGUAAAUUAGUGUGUUCAUUAAGCUUUCUUGUGAUAUAUAUGCAUUUCGUGGUAUUGAACAGCAGAGCACAGAUGAACAUAAUAAAGUUGAAACAUGGGCCAAGUGCCUACACAACUGCAGGUUAGGUUCAAACAUGAGUUUGUACAGAUUAGGUUUUUCACUCUUUCAAGUGAAACUGUGAGAGUUUAUGAUUAUUUUCCGUCCUGAGUAUCCUUAACCAAAAUUAUUGACCACAAUUCAAAGUAGUCUUCAAGUAUUAAAGCUCCCCAAAAGCUUGGCAAUGCCAUACCAGUAGCCUAGUACUAGACUGCAAUAUAAUUUACAUGGAUUUGAGGUAGUUGCUGUAAUUUGAAAGAAAUCUUUAACAUAUAUACACACACAAGCACACAAUAUGAUACUAAUCUUUAGACUGAGAGCGGAAAUGAGGUGUAUUCGAGGUUGUUGAGAGCAGAACUUUUUGGAUCUGAUUUUGGGUCUUUUUCUAAGGCAGGUUCUGGUCACCUAUGAGUCCUAGCAAGAACAUGUUGAGGUUCAAGACUGAGAGCUUGGGGCCUAAUUCUCCUUACUCGCCUUAUGAUAUGAUAAUGGGUUUUCUUCACAGACUUCCACACCUCCCAAGCCACCUCGCAAGGUCCCCAAGACUCCCCAUAAGGUUCUAAUGCUCCAUCACUUCAAGAUGAUUUUUACUUGAACCUAGUGGAUUGGUCGUCGCAAAAUGUCCCUGCAGUUGGAUUGGGAACCUGUAUUUACCUAUGGAGUUCAUCAAACAGCAAAGUAACAUAGUUGUGUGAUUUGGGACCUAAUGAUGGGUGUGUGUUCUGUCCAAUGGACCCGAGAGGGUUCAUACAUUUCCAUUGAUACAAAUCUUGGUCAAGUUCAGGUCUUGGAUGGGACACAGUGCAAGAAAGUCCGAACCAUGGGUGGGCAUCAAACAAGAACAGGGGUUUAGGCAUGGAAUUCAUGCACAUUGGCCUCCCGGAAGCCAGGGAUUGCAACAUACUUCAACAUGAUCUUCGGGUUCAAAAUGACUUUGUUAGCAAGCUAAUUGGCCACAAGUCUGAGAGAAGUUAUAGGGAAAAUGGCAGUAAUCUUAACCUUUCCUUAGCUUCAAUGCCACAGGUAUGUGGGCUAAAAUGGUCCCAUGAUGACAGGGAACUUGCAUCUUGUGGCAAUGAUAAUCAGCUAUUGGUCUGGAACCAGCAUUCUCAGCAACCAGCUUUGAGACUAACAGAGCACACAGCUGCUGCCAAGACCAUUGCUUGGUCACCCCACCAAAGUAGCCUUCUUGCAUCUGGCGGUGGAACAGCUGAUAGAUGUAUUCGCUUCUGGAACACCACAAACUGCCACCAACUGAACAGCAUUGACACGGGGAGCCAGGUUUGCAAUCUUGCAUGGAGUAAAAAUGUGAAUGAAUUAGUAAGCACUCAUGGGUAUUCCCAGAAUCAAAUUAUGGUGUGGAAGUAUCCAUCAAUGACAAAGGUUGCAACUCUAACGGGACAUAGUAUGCGAGUGCUUUACAUUGCAAUAUCACCCGAUGGUCAGUUACUUCAUCAUUUCCUUUAAAGCAUUUUUCAUAGCAUGUGAACUUGAUUGGCAGCACAGGAGUAACACCAAACAUAGAUGCAAAUAUAUAUUAUAAUGCACAUACAAAUUUUUUAAUUUGAACUGAAUUGCCUCCUGCAGACUAUAGUUACUGGUGCAGGUGAUGAAACCCUCCGGUUUUGGAAUCCCUUCCCAUCCAUGAAAACACCAACACCAGUGAGAGAUACAGGUCUUUGGUCUCUUGGGCGAACCCAAAUUCGAUGAUAUUCUUUGCACACGUGAAUAUGUUUUGGCUAUGAAGAUGGAAAGUAAAGGGCUAGUUUAUACUGUAUAUGAAACUGUAAUUUAUUUGUAAUCAGCUGAGAUGUACUGAGAAAUUGGCAAUGAUGUAUUCUAUUUUUUUUCCCCCCUUCUGCUAUAUAUAGUUUUGAAUCUGUAAAGUGUUUCCUUGUUAUAAUACUCGGACAUCAAUAUAACACUAGAUAAUUUAUACUCUCUCUCU